rnacentral:lncRNA from 1 species
GAUAACUUCUUCGUGAUUAAUUCCUGUACUGAGAGCCAAAGCGAAGAAACACCCUGGGUUCGUCCAAUUUAGCAGCGGCGCACGUUCAGUGCAAAAUACACGAACAGUUUUCAGGGCCUGCAGUAUGUUGAGGGAGACGUUGGUGGCGUUGGUACUGAUGCUAGGCCUGACUCACACCGCCGCUCAACACCGGAAGCGGGCCAUGGGACAGCUGGGACAUGCGCUGUGGGGCGACAUGUACAUCCGGUCUAAAGAUAUGUUUCACAUACCGAAGCAACGGUCAGAGAUUGUCUCCCCUCACCGCUCUUCUUACAUGGAUUUACAUAAAGACAUUGAGCGUUUGACACGCAUGCGCAAGUCUGACAAUAACGCCGGAAGAGGCAGCUGGUUACGGAAGCUGGUUCUCAUGCGUGCGCUGAUGAAUCAACCUGUGAUUCAAAAACGACUUGAAUUGAACUGUGAUACAACCCGCAUUACUAUUCAAAUAAUAUUGGAGUACUUGCGGAGCGGAAGAAUAUGUGGGUUUAGGGUAACAACAGUGCGUUUCGGACUGGGCGGAAGGAGGUAAACCGGAAGUACCAUAUAACAUUCUCUGAAGCCAGCCUAAUCUGAUCACACAGUUGUAAGGGACAUGGGAAUAUCGUUUGAAUAUACAGUGAAACCCUGUUAAUCCGAACACCUCACGCUCCGGACGAGUAUCUUUGGAAGGUAUAUAGAUAUAUAUAUGCGGAGUGUAUAUAUUAUAUACAAACUGACCCCUACUGUGAUUCCUGUAUUUCGGAAAUUUGUUUAUCCGGGCUGUUUCAUUUAGUACCGUCCGGAUUAACAGGGUUUCACUGUAUUUGUUUCAUUGGUUCUACUGCUUUUCCAAUAACAGACAUUGCUCACACUGUGAACCUUAUCGUGGUAACGAUGCAGUGGUCCUAGACAUUAUAGCCUCAGACUAAUCUUCACAUGUCCCCAUGUGUGCGGUCAAUGUUAUGAGGGUGACGCGUGUAAUGAAAUACAGAAAGCCUAUUUCAGAGAAAGUACUGCUGAUGGCAACGACUUUAAAUCAGUGAGUGUGUGCAUUCGUCGCUAAAGGGCGUUGUGGACAUAUGCGCUGGUCGUGAGAGGGCGUUGGAGAGCCGAGAAACCCAAUCAGCGGAAAUGUUUUGAACGCUCUGCUUGAAGAAUGGCUGAUGAAGAGGACAAAUAGAUGUCGCUGCAUCAAAAGCGUGGAUAUGUUUUGUUGUUUGUUAAUUUGCAGUGUGACAUUUGUGGUAAUAUGCUUGAAGGUGAUACGGCAAUGUACAUAGUUAGCUCUGUAUUGUGAAAACUCGCUGGUCCGGAAACCCCGCUAGUCCGGAAACCCUGCCUUCCGGGCGAAUACUGCUGAGAAGGUCGCCAUGCGUACACAUGGACUUAACCACUAUGAAUUCGGAAAUUUAAGAAUACGGAAAAUUACACAGCGAAAACUGAAGUCCGGAUUAACGAGAUUUCACUUUAUAAUAGAUUAUUAAAAUAUCUAUCUAGUAAGGCGGACUAGUAACAUCAUCCCGCUACAAGAGCAGGGGGCUUAUGUUCCAUGAAUGUUCAGCCUAGAUCUAGCCAUAUUAAUAUAGGGGCAUGUGGGACACAGUGUCUAUGAUAAUUAACUGCUAGAGUUACAUCUGUAAUACAACUGGAGUUGGCAGCGUCGCGUUUGAACGUUUCAAUCAAACUUGCUUGGAAUUUGCUGCCAAUUUGUCAGGGUUUGGUACUCCUUUAAGUCCUCACGAAUAUUUAAGAAUCGACUUCAAUAUAUUUUUGUGCAUUUAUGAAGGUAUAAACGGAAAAGCCGAUGUGCACUUUGUGUAAAAACCGCGCUUUUACGUUUAUACUUCAUAAACACAAAAACAUAUUGAAGUCAAUUCUUAUAAAUAAAUAAAUAAAUAAAUAAAUACGUGUUAUUUAUUCAUUAACACAUAAACACAGUACACAACAACACGAUGUCCAUGACGUCGUUCAGCGCAAUAAUGCAACACGGACCCCACCAAUUCUAGUAUCAGCCAAUCAGGAAACUGUAGUCCGUAGGUGGGCGUGGUCUAAUGUUAUUUUCGGAAACAUAAACGCAAAAAGAAAUUAUUAGUUAGCCAAUCAAACGCCACGGAAUGACGUCAAAUUAUUUAUAACAUUGUAACAAUCGAUUCAGCAAAUGGUCAAUUUCGAUCAACAAUCAUGUGAAAUGAAUUAGAAAUUAUCGCUACACUGGCGAAAUAGGGGUUUAAAAUGAAUACUAGUCCGCCCUAAAUAUUAGUACGCACGGGACAACGGACAAGCGGCUAUAUCUGAGGCUAGUUGUAAUCUGUAGUCGAAUUGAGUCCGUUAUUUUGUCUCCUGUGUCAACCAUCUCUCACAAUCCAUUGGCGUUUCUUUUAUAAGAAUAAAGUGGUCUCUUAUGUCA